rnacentral:rRNA from 1 species
GUGAAAUUGUUGAAAGGGAAGCGCUUGCAGCCAGACGUGCCCGCAGUUGCUCAUCCGGGGAUCUCCCCGGUGCACUCUUCUGUGGGCAGGCCAGCAUCAGUUCGGGCGGUUGGAGAAAGACCUGUGUCAUGUAGCUGUUCUCGGGCAGUGUUAUAGGGCAGGUGGAAUGCAACCAGCCUGAACUGAGGUCCGCGCUUUUGCUAGGAUGCUGGCGUAAUGGCUGUAAGCGGCCCGUCUUGAAACACGGACCAAGGAGUCUAACAUCUAUGCGAGUGUUUGGGUGUCAAGCCCGAGCGCGUAAUGAAAGUGAACGGAGGUGGGAACCCCUCGGGGUGCACCAUCGACCGAUCCUGAUGUCUUCGGAUGGAUUUGAGUAAGAGCAUAGCUGUUGGGACCCGAAAGAUGGUGAACUAUGCCUGAAUAGGGUGAAGCCAGAGGAAACUCUGGUGGAGGCUCGCAGCGGUUCUGACGUGCAAAUCGAUCGUCAAAUUUGGGCAUAGGGGCGAAAGACUAAUCGAACUAUCUAGUAGCUGGUUCCUGCCGAAGUUUCCCUCAGGAUAGCAGUAACGUUUUCAGUUUUAUGAGGUAAAGCGAAUGAUUAGAGGCCUGGGGGUUGAAACAACCUUCACCUAUUCUCAAACUUUAAAUAUGUAAGAAGUCCUUGUUUCUUAAUUGAACGUGGACAUUUGAAUGUAUCGUUACUAGUGGGCCAUUUUUGGUAAGCAGAACUGGCGAUGCGGGAUGAACCGAACGCGGGGU